GUGAAUCAUCGAAUCUUUGAACGCACCUUGCACCCUUUGGUAUUCCGAAGGGUACACCCGUUUGAGUGUCAUUGUAAUCUCACACCCUCAGACUUUUGUCGAAAGGGAGGUGGACUUGGACGCUGUCGUGUCACUACGACUCGUCUCAAAUGCAUGAGUGUACCCUGCGUCCGCAGCGUAUUCGGUGUGAUAAGCAUCUUCACCGGAGCAGUGCCCUCGGGCUCGCGCUUGCAAAUGUCGGGCUCUGCGCUUCUAAUCGUCCUCGGACAGCGACUGACAAUUUGACCUCAAAUCGGGUGGGACUACCCGCUGAACUUAAGCAUAUCAAUAAGCGGAGGA
rnacentral:misc_RNA from 1 species